GGAUACACCUGGUUAAAAAAUCAGGCCAUUAUUUAAUGCAUGGCGGUCUCGCCACGAAGGGGUCCCUACGGGAAAAACCGUUGUCCGUCUUUGACGGACCGUGGGUUCGAAUCCCACCCUCUCCG
rnacentral:tRNA from 1 species